GAUGAACGCUGGCGGCGUGCCUAAUACAUGCAAGUCGAGCGAACAGACGAGGAGCUUGCUCCUCUGACGUUAGCGGAGGACGGGUGAGUAACACGUGGAUAACCUACCUAUAAGACUGGGAUAAUUUCGGGAAACCGGAGCUAAUACCGGAUAAUAUAUUGAACCAUAUGGUUGAAUAGUGAGAGACGGUUUUGCUGUAUCGUCUCGCUGGAUCCGAGCCGGAUUAGCUAGUUGGUAAGGUAAAGGCUUACCAAGGCAACGAGGCGUAGCCGAGCUGAGAGGGUGGUCGGCCACACUGGAAGUGAGACACGGCCCAGAGGCCUACGGGAGGCAGCAGUAGGGAAUCGUCCGCAAAGGGCGAAAGCUUGACGGAGCAAGGCCGCGUGAGUGAUGAAGGUCUUCGGAUCGUAAAACUCUGUUAUUAGGGAAGAACAAAUGUGUAAGUAACUAUGCACGUCUUGACGGUACCUAAUCAGAAAGCCACGGCUAACUACGUG
rnacentral:rRNA from 1 species